CAAGUGUAACGCCCUCGAUGCGGCUAUAUCUCCCACGUGUCGAAGCACGACUUAGAGGCAUAACCGCAUUGAAAGCAAUGUCGCAAGUGAGGUAAUCUUCACACAACCCAAGUAAUACAUAAGGGAAAGAGAUACAUAGUUGGCUUACAAUCGCCACUUCACACAAUUACAUGAAUAAAGCAUUACAUCAUCCAGAUACAAUCAAGGUCCGACUACGGAACCAAAAUAAAAGAAGAACCCCAAAUGCGACAAAGGUCCCCGAUCGACCCCAACUGGGCUCCACUACUGAUUAACUAGAACGAAACAACACAAAGGGCAAGAUCUUCAUCGAGCUCCUCCUUGAGCUUGGUUGCGUCACCUGCUCGGUAACAUAGGCACCUGCAAACUGGUUUUUGAAGUAUCUGUGAGCCACGGGGACUCAACAAUCUCGACCCGCGAGAUCAAGACUAUUUAAGCUUAUAGGAAGGAUGGAGUAAUGAGGUGGAGCUGCAGCAAGCGACUAGCAUAUAUGGUGGCUACAAUCGCAAAAGAGAGCGAGAAGAGAAGCUAGGCACGGUCGUGAAGCUAGUAGCGAUCAAGAAGUGAUCCUGAAACUACUUACGUCAAACAUAACUCUAACACCGUGUUCACUUCCCGGACUCCGCCGAGAAGAGACCAUCACGGUUACACACGCGGUUGAUGUAUUUUAAUUAAGGUCAACUUCGGGUUUUCUACAACCGGACGUUAACAAAUUCCCAUCUGCCACAUAACCGCGGGCACGGCUUUCGAAAGAUAAUACCCUGCAGGGGUGUCCCAACUUAGCCCAUGACAAGCUCUCACGGUCAACGAAGGAAUAGACCUCCACCCGAGACACUCCGAUCAGACUCAGUAUCCCGGUACAACAAGACAUUUCGACAGGGUAAAACUAAACCAGCAACACCGCCCGAAUGUGCCGACAAAUCCCGAUAGGAGCUGCACAUAUCUCUUUCUCAGGGCACACUCAGAUGAGUCUAGCUACGAGUAAAACCAACCCUCAAGUUUCCCCGAGGUGGCCCCGCAGGCAGCUCAGUUCGGACCAACACUCAGAGGAGCACUGGCCCGGGGGGGUUAGAAUAAAGAUGACCCUUGAGUCUGCAGAACCCAAGGGAAAGAAAAGGCUAGGUGGCGAAUGGUAAAACCAAUGUUGGGCAUUGCUGGAAGAGCUUUACUUAAGGCGAACUGUCAAGGGGUUCCCAUUAUAGCCCAACCGUGUAAGGAACGCAAAAUCCGGGAACAUAACACCGAUAUGACGGAAACUAGGGCGGCAAGAGUCGAACAAAACACCGGGCAAAAGGCCGAGUCUUCCACCCUUUACCAAGUAUAUAGAUGCAUUAAUUAAGUAAGAUAUAUUGUGAUAUCCCAACAAGUAAAUAUGUCCCAACAAGGAACGACAUCUCCAUGUUCCAACCAGGAACAAACUUCAAUCUUCACCUGCAACUAACAACGCUAUAAGAGGGGCUGAGCAAAGCGGUAACAUAGCCAAUCAACGGUUUGCUAGGACAUGAUGGGUUAGAGGUUUGACAUGGCAAUUUGGGAGGCUGACAAGCAAAUGGUAGGCAUCGUAGCAUUGGCAUCGCAAAAGAGCGAGCAAACUAGCAUAGCAAAGAUAGUAGUGAUUUCGAGGGUAUAAUCAUCUUGCCUGAAAUCCCGCAAGGAAGAAGAACGAAUCCAAGAAGAAGACAAACGGACGUAGACGAACGGUUCCUCACAAACGCAACGUUGUCGGAAACAACCCGAAGAAGCACACCGGAAAGAAGCAAACAAUAUAGUAAACAACAAACACAUCAACAUGGCAUGAAGCACAAACGAGUAUGAUGCAUGUCCGGUUUAAUGAGGCAUAGCAUGGCAAAGUGCAACAAACAAUACUACAAGUUAAGUGGAGCUCAAUAUGCAACGAGGUGCAUGUUGACGAAACACCACAUCAAUUAUUUAGUUAUCUCUCGUUUAAGCUACCCAACAAUAUUAACUGUUGUUAAACAUGGCAAGAGGUGAAGCAUAAUAUAAACUAUACCGUCUAAACAAUUUAAAUGGGGCCGGAUAUAAAAACAACAAAUCCGGUAAAUCCCCAUAUGCAUUUAGCAAUUUAAUGCAACAACAAGUUUAAACAUUUUAAAUGUUGUUAUCAUGAUGCGGAUGACAUAUACCAGUUUUAUGCAAUUUUAUGAAAAUGUUGACAUGAGCAUGUUAUGAAGCAUUUGGUCACCAUGGCGGAACAAAAAGGGUGCCACGGCGGCGAAACAAAAAUGGUGCCACGGCAACAUUCCGGUCCCGGUAACUCAUGGAGAUACCGGUGCAAAAGGAGGCGUGCGGAUGUGCGCAACAUGCUAGAGAUGGUGGGGUGCUCCCGACUACCGGGUUCCCACGGGUUAGUGGCAUGGAAAACGAGUGACAAUUCGAACACGGUGCAAACGUAUCGUACAUCUCAUACAUGCAAGGCCAUCUCAUCGCGGUCGUCUCGGGUUAUACCUUUGAAGCGUGCGUUUUUGGAGCGGUUCGAUUUCGGAGCGGUGUAGAGGAAGUAGGCGUUCACGGGACAUCGUGGAAGUAGUCGUUCGCAGCGUCGGUAGAGGUACAUCUCGUAGUGGAAGUAGGUGUUCAUGAUCCACAGAUGUUCGGGGUCCACGGGGUCUUCAAGGGUCGACGGUAGUGGUACACGUUUUUGUAGUCGUCCAGGGUCGUCGAGAGAGGUACUUGUCGCAUCACCGUGUAGUCGAUCUUGGCAAGCGAUGGUCGUCGUGGUACUUGGCGAAUCUACGUAGUCGAACAUGGGUUGUAGUGGAACUUGCUCGUUGUGUAGUUGAACACAAGGUUCCUCGGGGGAUCGGUCUUGGCGAUCCAGCGGCAGCAGCAAAGCGGUGUACGGGGCAACAAUUGGAGGAGCUCCCGGCGACGCAUGGAAAACCAUUGAGUCUUGGCAGUCCUGGCUACACGCGCGGACACACGAGCUGGUGCAGGGCAGCGUCGGACAAGCCGUUGGGCACGAGGCGAAGCAGAGGACGGGGAAGCCGGAGGUGGCCCUCCUGGUGGUCGCCGACGGCGGCGGGUGGCGAUGGGAGGAACGGGCGGUCUCGCGGAACGGAGGCGCGGGGCGACAUGGACGAAGUGGCCGCGGGGCUCGAUGCAGAUGAGGAAGGAGGGCGGCAGCGCUCCUGGUCGCAGCGACCGGAGGGGCGACGGGGCAUGGCGCUGCGUGGGAACGAGGGGAGAAGCCGGCUGAUGCGGAGGAGGAGGCACGGCCGCAGGUGAGGGAGGAGGUUGGGCACGCGGCGCAUGGUGGUGGAGGCGAGAUCCGGGCGCGGGGUUCCGUUCCCGGCGCCAGAAUGGAGGGGGGCGCACCGGCGAGGAGAGGACGGCGGCUUGACGCGGCUCCGGCGACGGGGCGUGAUGCAGGGGACUCGGGCAGGGGGUUGAAGAAGACGACGCGAGGCAGGGGCGUCGGAGUUGGACUCCAGUUACGGCGCAGGAGGCCCGACGCGGCGCUCGGAGGAGAGGGGCGGCACACGGCCAUGGCAGGGAGGCGAUGGUUGCGGGCGCACGAGGAGAAGGGAGGAAGAGCAUCUCAGGCGCUCGGGCUCGAGCUCGCACGCGAGGCCCUCCGGCUCGAGGAGCUGGGGAAUCGGGCGCGGGGACUCCUCCCUGGUGUGUUGCAUGUGUGGUGACGGCGCGAGGGAGGAGACGAGGGAGAGUGGGGGAUCGGGCAGGGGGGUUCGGGCUAGGGUUAGGAGGGAUUGGUGGGGGCGGCUGGGCCUUAGAGGCAAAUGGGCCGGUCUGGUUUGCUGGGCUCUCUUCUCCCUCUCUCUUCAAAACUCUUCCAAAAACAGAAAAGCAAAGAAAGAAAGGGAGAGAAAAGAAAUGAGUGGACAAGAAUUUGGGCAUGGGGGUAAUUUUCCCGGACUCGCAUAAAUGCGCUUGUUCCAAGAAAAAAAUAGAAAGGCCAUGAUUGAAAGAUUUAAAUUCAAACUCAUUUGAAUUUAAUUCAAAUGGGUUUGAACGGAAGUGAGGGUUUGGGAAUGUCCAAAAAUGUUCGGAUUUUUGGUGGAGCUCCGGAAAAUGAUGAAAUAAUUUAUGGGCAAGGUUGGAGACCAAGAAGUGAGAUAACAAAGGCAUGGAGAAUUAUUUGCAAGUGUGUUAUGGUGAUUUCCGAAACAAUGGAAUAUUUUAUAAUAUAGCUCCCUAAAUAUCGGGAGGGUAUGUUAUAAAGAGAAGUCACCAUGUGAGUUCCCUCGGUUUAAAUAGAUCAAAAGAUCUAUGCAAUUUAUUUAGUUGAGUUUAAAAAAAUAAAUGGCAUGAUGGCAAGAUGACAUGAUGCGAUGCAAAAAAAUAAAAGAGCAAGCACAAAAGAAACACACGGCGAAACUCAGAAUAGCUGGAAGGCAUCUGAAGCUCCGGUCUUGGGGCGUCACAACACUCCACCACUACGAGAGGAUCUCGUCCCGAGAUCUAGAAUGGCACCGGAGAGAGACGGAAGAGGAAGAGAAGAGGUAAAACUAAGUUGCUUCUUCGACAAAAGAGUGAAACCAAAGAACCUUGAGAGGUUGAAAAGUUGAAAGAAAGGACAUAACAGAGUUGAGCACAAUUGAGAGCACUGCGGUACAAAAUAGAAACAAUGAACACCAUGUGAACCUUGGAGGUUGCAAAGCUAUGAAUGACGAGUACAAUGGACAAGAAGGAAUUGAAAUCACUCUGGUUAAAACGAGAUAAACAAGGAACAAGGAAGAUCAAAAUCGGACAGCACUCCGGUUGAAAAGAGACGCAUGACUUGAUAAGAUGAAAAGAACUUGAAGAGAUGACACAACACUCCGGUUAGAUGGAUAAGCAUGAAAAGAACACGAUCCUCACAAUUCGCGAUGAUGAGUGAAGAGAGCAACAUCACAAUGCCUUCGGAAGAAAGAAUAGAAGAUAGAUCAUUUGAAUAACCGAAUGGAGAAGAAAAUGCCAACUUCUGCCACAAAUGAGUUUGGAAAGCAUCCUUGCAAAGAAGAAUUGAACGGAGUUGUUGGAAAAUCAACAACGAAAAGCACAAGCUUGUAGUGGGCUUAUGGAAAACAUCUCAAAAUUAUGAGGUGACAACCGGCCACUAACGGAAACAAUUGCUUGCUUGAGAUCAACGAAGAGAUGAAAACUUCUUUCGCCGAGAGGAUAGGAGAAAACUUGGAUCAUUGAUAAGCACCACAAAUAGCAACAUUCCCAAUGGAAGGCUUUAGGUGAAAUAUGACACAAGAUAACUCCAACGAAGAGAUUAAUGGAUUUAAAAUACCUCAUUCUUGACAACAUAUGAAUCAUGAAACAUGAAGGAAAUUGUCAAGAGUGACAUAACACCACCUCAAAAGAUAAGGUAGGAAGAAUUGCACUUCGGAUGCAAGAAGAAGAAUACUUGAACUCCUCAAAACAAAACAUGUGUUGAGCACCAUGUUUAAUUUUUUGAGUAUAGCUUGGCGGGUCAUAACUUCGAGAGAAAUCUUGAAGAACAAUUGAAGAACGAAAAGAAUCCUUGACGAACCACCAUGUAGAGCCUCCAUGAAGAACUCCGGUAAUAAAAGGAUGAUCCAAUGGAAGGAAAAAGAAGUUGAAAACACAAGGUGAAACCUUGUAAUGAUUUAGAUGAAUCUCCGUGGUGAUAUAAUUGCCAGAGCUUGAGACUCCGGGAACACAAAAUGAAUCAAGUGAAACCGAGAAUUUGAUGGGCCUCCAGAAUAAGGAAUUAAUAUCUUGGGUGAAACAAGAAUAAGAAUUACAUUAUGCUUAUCCUUCACCAUUUUAAAUUGAUGACAAACAACGGAUUUGGCAUACUACUUAUUCUUGUAGAAAGGAUUAAGAUAGAUAUUGCGCAAACUUGAGAAAGUCUUCAACGAUCCACCGGUAGAAUUUAGAAAGCACAAAUGCAUAGAUAUGAUACACGAAGGAAGAAAACUCUUGAACGAACCACCGUAAGAAUUAAAAUAAACGAAGUAAAGGGAUGAAUCACCGGUUAGAAUUAGCAAAUACACGAAGAUGCUUGAGAGGAUUUAGAUACAUGAGAACGACGAGAUCACGAGCCGAUUAAAGAUCACUUGAAUGAAGCACCGGUAUGAUUUAGAGUAUGCGAGCUGAAAGCUGGACUGAAUCAAUCUUAGAUGAUGGGCUCCGGAUAAUCCGACAGAAAAUACUCUGAAUUACUCCGAAUGAGUGAAAAGAAUUCUGACAAUCGAAAACAACUAUGAGAGGAUGGCAUAACGCUAGAACCACGAAUCUUGAAGAGAAAGGAGCAAGAUUGAGAGAAAAAAAAUCUUCUUCAGUCUUCAAAUGAUGAGAAAGACGACGAGAAACGCCACCAAGAAUUAUUGAGGCACACCGGAAGAAUCAAAAGCGAAGAGGUUGAGCCAACUAUGAAAAGAAUUUGAAAGAUCUUGGAGAAAAGUAUUUGACUGAUGAUAACUCAUCCUUACGUCAAACUUGGAGAAGAAUUUAGGAUAGCUCCGGGAAAAUAAGAAGAGUUAGGUAAGAUCCUGGAAAAAGACCUCUGGGUUAGGGCCCACUAAAAAGAUACACCGUUGAAUGAUUUUGAGGAGAGAUUGCACCGGUUGAAUUAAAUGGCUUGAAUGAGAUAACAACCUCAAAAUAACUUGAAUGGAUUGAGAAUGGAAACACGAAUCUUGGAUAAGAAAUUCACAUGGGAAGAUAUGUGAAACAAAAGGAAGAGAUAUGAUCAACACCGAAGCUUGAAAUUAAUCCACCGGAGAAGAAAAGAAUGAAAAUGAUGAACUUGAAACUCCGUUAGUAUCUUCACGAGGGAUCAACGGAUCAGAACAUUGAUUGAAAAGGGUGAAGUGACUUCACAUGAAUAAAUGGAUACUUGAUUGAAAUAUAUAAGAGUCUUUGAAGAAAAAGGGUGGGAGGGCGGGAAAAACAAAGGCAACUUGGAGACGGAUGAAACAAACACCGUUGAGAAGAAGUGAUAAUUGAUCUUGCGGAAGUUGAAAUGAUCGAAUCCACUUGAAGAAGCACGCCGGUUGGAAAGAAUUGACAUGACAAACUCGAUGAUCAAGAAGGAUUAGUAUUCACAUAGCAAUAUGAGAACACCAUUUAGGAAAGGUAUGGAUUCAACAUUUGACUUCGAAGCAACUCGAAUACCACAAAUAAAACAAAACAAAGGAUUUGGCUUGCAGAAUAAGCCGGAACAAACAUAUGAUAGAGAUUUCAUCCGAAGUUUUCGUGGUGGGGCCCACACGGGCUCGAUCGUACAGCACCAUCAUGUACAAGGCAGUGCACAUGACAUACGAAGCAUCCCCGAGUCGGCAUAGCCAAGGACUCUUUAAGACACAACCAGACCACUGUAAAACCAACCGUGAAUAGGCGGACCACUAGACGUCGAACCCCAAUUUCAAAUCAUACAUCUGUCGGAAAUAUAUCCUAAGAGCUACUUGAAUACCCACCUAUGAAACUCCCGAAAUUUUCAGGUUAUGCAAUCAGGUGUUGGGGAUACAGGGGAAGCAUAAUAUCUCACCCAAAACUAACAAAUCCUACAUCCAGCUGUAUCCAUCCUUCAACACAUAACCAAGAAACCUUCGGAAAUCGUCUACCUCAACCUUCGAAAAGCAUCCGUUAUACAAGUCAUGGCAAUACUCCCGUACUCACCUCAGUACUGGGUUAUCGGGGUUAUCUCACCAACGAACUGCAUAAAAGAGAUUUUCGAUGUCGGCGUACUAAACUCAGGUAUUCCAGAACUGCAACGAUAAAAUUAUGGCGACAACACCUCAGAGCUCAACUCCCCGGGACACUUCCACUAAACCCCUGACAGGAGGCACCAAGACAAUGUUGUCAUCAUAAAACCAUCGGAACGAUUCCAAGAUACCCGCGUGAUCCUAAAAAAAUUUAGUGAAAUUUGAGAAGAGAAGAGUCAAAACUCUACGUCAGGAUGCCUUACCAGAGCGAUGAAGAGACUGGGGAGUAAAAAGAAUUCCUAACUCUCCGAUAUAUAUAAUCCUAAAUGACUCAAAACAUUUUUCUAGACACAACUCGGCCGCUAAAAACAAUCAAGCAGUGGGGCUCCUAAGGUCGGGGAAGGCUCUGAUUACCAACUUGUAACGCCCUCGAUGCGGCUAUAUCUCCCACGUGUCGAAGCACGACUUAGAGGCAUAACCGCAUUGAAAGCAAUGUCGCAAGUGAGGUAAUCUUCACACAACCCAAGUAAUACAUAAGGGAAAGAGAUACAUAGUUGGCUUACAAUCGCCACUUCACACAAUUACAUGAAUAAAGCAUUACAUCAUCCAGAUACAAUCAAGGUCCGACUACGGAACCAAAAUAAAAGAAGAACCCCAAAUGCGACAAAGGUCCCCGAUCGACCCCAACUGGGCUCCACUACUGAUUAACUAGAACGAAACAACACAAAGGGCAAGAUCUUCAUCGAGCUCCUCCUUGAGCUUGGUUGCGUCACCUGCUCGGUAACAUAGGCACCUGCAAACUGGUUUUUGAAGUAUCU
rnacentral:lncRNA from 1 species